rnacentral:siRNA from 1 species
AGCCUUGUCAUCUCGGUCGAUCU